AGCGAACGCUGGCGGCAGGCUUAACACAUGCAAGUCGAGCGGGCAUCCUCGGAUGUCAGCGGCAGACGGGUGAGUAACACGUGGGAACGUACCCUUCGGUUCGGAACAACUCUGGGAAACUGGAGCUAAUACCGGAUACGCCCUUAUGGGGAAAGGUUUACUGCCGAAGGAUCGGCCCGCGUCUGAUUAGCUAGUUGGUGGGGUAACGGCCUACCAAGGCGACGAUCAGUAGCUGGUCUGAGAGGAUGAUCAGCCACACUGGGACUGAGACACGGCCCAGACUCCUACGGGAGGCAGCAGUGGGGAAUAUUGGACAAUGGGCGCAAGCCUGAUCCAGCCAUGCCGCGUGAGUGAUGAAGGCCUUAGGGUUGUAAAGCUCUUUUGUCCGGGACGAUAAUGACGGUACCGGAAGAAUAAGCCCCGGCUAACUUCGUG
rnacentral:rRNA from 1 species